GACGAACGCUGGCGGCGUGCUUAACACAUGCAAGUCGAACGGAAAGGCCCUGCUUUUGUGGGGUGCUCGAGUGGCGAACGGGUGGGUAACACGUGUGUAACCUGCCCUUGACUUUGGGAUAACUUCAGGAAACUGGGGCUAAUACCGGAUAGGAGCUCCUGCUGCAUGGUGGGGGUUGGAAAGUUUCGGCGGUUGGGGAUGGACUCGCGGCUUAUCAGCUUGUUGGUGGGGUAGUGGCUUACCAAGGCUUUGACGGGUAGCCGGCCUGAGAGGGUGACCGGCGACAUUGGGACUGAGAGACGGCGCAGACUCCUACGGGAGGCAGCAGUGGGGAAUAUUGCACAAUGGGCGGAAGCCUGAGGCAGCAACGCCGCGUGCGGGAUGACGGCCUUCGGGUUGUAAACCGCUUUCGCCUGUGACGAAGCGUGAGUGACGGUAAUGGGUAAAGAAGCACCGGCUAACUACGUG
rnacentral:rRNA from 1 species